CCUACGGGAGGCAGCAGUGGGGAAUAUUGCACAAUGGGGGAAACCCUGAUGCAGCGACGCCGCGUGAGUGAAGAAGUAAUUCGUUAUGUAAAGCUCUAUCAGCAGGGAAGAAAAUGACGGUACCUGAGUCAGAAGCCCCGGCUAACUACGUGCCAGCAGCCGCGGUAAUACGUAGGGGGCAAGCGUUAUACGGAUUUACUGGGUGUAAAGGGAGCGUAGUCGGGAGUGCAAGUCUGGAGUGAAUGGCGGGGGCUCAACCCCCGGACUGCUCUGGAAACUGUACGGCUGGAGUGCAGGAGAGGUAAGUGGAAUGCGUAGUGUAGCGGUGAAAUGCGUAGAUAUUAGGAGGAACACCAGUGGCGAAGGCGGCUUACUGGACUGUAACUGACGUUGAGGCUCGAAAGCGUGGGGAGCAAACAGGAUUAGAUACCCCUGUAGUC
rnacentral:rRNA from 1 species